AAAAACGUUUUCGGACAAGCGUUUUCGCGUUGAAACGCUAAAAAUCCAAGAUGGCGGCUUAAAAUCAAAAUAUUAUAUUCUUGUUUCCUGGAAGCUUAGAUCUUUCAUUGGUAUAAUUUAUUCUUAAGUUAAAAACUUUAGCAACAAAUAAAACAAAAUAUAUAGCCUUUCAAGUGUAUAAUGAUUUAUGAACGAUUUAAAAUGUGUUUUGCUUUCGAAGGAGCGACAGACUUCGUAUCGGUGAUGCUGAACAUACAUAUAAAACUGUUUACUUUAUUAUAAUGAACAGAGGACAUUUAAGAAA